rnacentral:tRNA from 1 species
UUUAUUAUGGCAGAUUAGUGUAUUAAACUUAGAAUUUAAUUAUAUAUAUUUAAACUAAAUUUAUAUUAAUAAAA